rnacentral:rRNA from 1 species
CAAUAGCGUAUAUUAAAGUUGUUGCGGUUAAAAAGCUCGUAGUUGGAUUUCUGCCGAGGACGACCGGUCCGCCCUCUGGGUGAGUAUCUGGCUCGGCCUGGGCAUCUUCUUGGAGAACGUAACUGCACUUGGCUGUGUGGUGCGGUAUUCAGGACUUUUACUUUGAGGAAAUUAGAGUGUUUCAAGCAGGCACACGCCUUGAAUACAUUAGCAUGGAAUAAUAAGAUAGGACCUCGGUUCUAUUUUGUUGGUUUCUAGAUCUGAGGUAAUGGUUAAUAGGGAUAGUUGGGGGCAUUCGUAUUUAACUGUCAGAGGUGAAAUUCUUGGAUUUGUUAAAGACGGACUACCGCGAAAGCAUUUGCCAAGGAUGUUUUCAUUGA